UUGAGGGCCUUGAGCGGGAGAAAGGGCUGCCAAAUCCAAUACUAAAAUAUUACUUUAUCAAAAACCAGGCACCAAAAGAAUUGUACUGUAAUUAAAACUUUUAUUUUUACCAAAAAACAGGUGCCAAACCUAGUACACUGAAAUAAAAAAUUCUACAAAUUAAAAAAAGCUCUCUAUUUCAAAACAAAAAUCGCAUCUCUUCCCUGGUCUCUACUCAUCGGACUCUGCCCUAGUGCUGCCAAUCAUAGUAGAAGAGAGCCUUCUCAAGAAGGAUCGUGAAGGUGCGCUAGGGCAAGCUUCUUGAGCAAUCUUGAAACUUGCAAGCAGUGACCAAAUGUGUCAUUGACGGCUACCCAGAAUUCAAUUCUUCAACAAAAACUUACCCAUUUUCUUUCUUGCUGUCAUACUGUUCCAGAUCAUCCUCCUCAUACUUGGCCCAACAACAAUAGUUCCCUGCUAAUCUUCAAACUGCCACUAUUGAAAAGCUGUCCAGAAAUAAGAAGUAAAUGCGCCCAAUAUCAAGUUGGUCUCUGUUACCAUUCUCAAAAAAGAUCAGGAACCGAUGUUCGUUUACUUAGUUAUUUGUUAGUACUGCUGCAACUUCAAUAAUACACUAGCUAUGAUCUUACUUUGUGAACAAACUGGAGAAGAACAAAUUGUUCCUUCAAUGUAUUUCAGGCUACUAGCUGAGGAAUUUAGCUACAAUAUUAUGGAUGGGAUAUCGAUUGAUAGACCAAUUCGAUUUAUAGCAACAAGCCAUGAACUUUGAUGCUCUGUGUGCUAAGCUCUAGCUUCUACCUUGGUGAUUUUUUAUUUUGUCAGUUUCUCAGCUCCUUGCGGCUAAACACUCUCAGCUCCUUGUGGCAAAACACUCUCCUUCAUAUUCCAGGAUUUGGAGACUACCGUUUACAAGACAAUAUGUGCUAGGUUUGAAGACUUCAAACAAGCUGAUGAUUUGUUUAUCAUGUUACUAGGAUUAUUAGAUCAGAAAUUAUAUUCGGAUGUUUAUUUUCCCCCAAGAGGUGGGUAUACAGUUGUGUGACUUAUAUAUCAUGGUUAUACAGUGCCACUAGUCGGAUGUUAAUCCAUUAUUUGUAACUAAUUAAAGACUAUAUUUAUGACAGCAGGAUAUUAUUGCU